rnacentral:rRNA from 1 species
UACGAAGGGUCCAAGCGUUGUCCGGAUUUAUUGGGUUUAAAGGGUGCGUAGGCGGUCUAUUAAGUCAGCGGUGAAAUACUCCAGCUUAACUGGAGGGGUGCCAUUGAUACUGAUGGACUUGAGUCAAGUCGAGGUAGGCGGAAUUGACGGUGUAGCGGUGAAAUGCUUAGAUAUCGUCAAGAACACCAAUAGUGAAGACAGCUUACUGGGCUUAAACUGACGCUGAGGCACGAAAGUGUGGGGAUCAAACAGG